rnacentral:lncRNA from 1 species
UCAAUCUUCCUCUUUUUGAGAUGGAGAUAGAUCGCUUUUAUGUUUCUCCCCUAGAUCUGAAUUUUUUUUGUUGUUUUGAUGUAGAUCUGUUUGGAUCUGAUGUGUUGAUUUUUUUUCUUUUUUUUUUUUUUGGUUUUUCCAGAUUAUUAAUGAUAGGGAAACUGGUAGAUCUAGAGGAUUUGGAUUUGUUACCUUCAAGGAUGAGCAAUCCAUGAAGGAUGCUAUUGAAGGGAUGAACGGCCAGGAUCUUGAUGGUCGUAACAUCACUGUGAAUGAAGCUCAGUCCCGCGGUGGCGGCGGCGGUGGUGGAAGAGGCGGUGGCGGCGGCUAUGGAGGUGGCCGACGUGAAGGAGGUGGUGGCUACGGAGGUGGCAGACGUGAAGGCGGUGGUGGUGGAUAUGGUGGUGGCGGCGGUUACGGUGGUGGCCGUCGCGAAGGUGGUUAUGGUGGUGGAGGUGGUGGAUAUGGCGGCGGUGACCGCUACAAU